rnacentral:rRNA from 1 species
GACGAACGCUGGCGGCGUGCUUAACACAUGCAAGUCGAACGGAAAGGCCCUGCUUUUGUGGGGUGCUCGAGUGGCGAACGGGUGAGUAACACGUGAGUAACCUGCCCUUGACUUUGGGAAACUUCAGGAAACUGGGGCUAAUACCGGAUAGGAGCUCCUGCUGCCUGGUGGGGGUUGGAAAGUUUCGGCGGUUGGGGAUGGACUCGCGGCUUAUCAGCUUGUUGGUGGGGUAGUGGCUUACCAAGGCUUUGACGGGUAGCCGGCCUGAGAGGGUGACCGGCCACAUUGGGACUGAGAUACGGCCCAGACUCCUACGGGAGGCAGCAGUGGGGAAUAUUGCACAAUGGGCGGAAGCCUGAUGCAGCAACGCCGCGUGCGGGAUGACGGCCUUCGGGUUGUAAACCGCUUUCGCCUGUGACGAAGCGUGAGUGACGGUAAUGGGUAAAGAAGCACCGGCUAACUACGUG